AGAAAGACGGUCGACGAGUCUUGCAUGGUGCCCCAACGGUCCAAUAGAAUAAGGGAUAGGCAAAGGUUUCGUUGUAUUAGCUGCUUGGAGCUUCAAACCAUCGACCGAAUAUCAACACCGAAUAUUGGCCGAAUAUCAACACACAGUUUGAGAUCCUUCACGGCCUCUUCAUUAUCGUCCUGGGACUUGCAAGAAAUGCCAAAAAAACCCUUGUUAAGAAAGUGACUACAGCGGACCUAGCUACUAAUUCAAGUGCUUUUUAGUUUGAGUAUGAGAGAGAAAGGGAGAGAGAAAGAGAGAGAGAGAGAGAAUGAGAGGAGAAAGGGAGGGAGAGAGAGAGAGAGAGAAAGAGGACAAGGAGAGGUGGGGAAUGCUUUAUUGUUCUGGUAUGUCUUUAAUGAGUCAACUCGUUCUCUCUUCUGCCUGUUGGCAUUUAACCUUUAACCCAGUUCCCACUAUUCUUAGAGAGUUAUCUCCCACGACUGCUAGAAUGCCAGAUAAUGUUUCCUUUCUUUUUCUUAUCAAAACGCUGGCGAUGCCAAGAUGGAACGAAAUCAUUUCUUUGAUUCUCUCUUUUGACAUUUGCAACUUUUUUCCCAGCUACAUUAUGUUGUUGUUGUUUUUUUCAAUACUGUACAAUUAAAAAAAUAAGAACAUCUUAUCGUUUAAAUGAAAACAAAUGCAUUGAGGCUCUAUUUUGAAAUUUGGGAAAAAAAUAUUUAAAUAAAAAUCAUAAAUCUAGACUGUCUUUAGAACGUGUAGAUCUAAUAUACACAUUUAAAAACUAUA
rnacentral:sRNA from 1 species